UGGGGAAUAUUGGGGCAAUGGGCGAAAGCCUUACCCAGCAAUGCCGCGUGAGUGAAGAAGGUCUUCGGAUUGUAAAGCUCUUUGAUCAGGGACGAACACAAUGACGGUACCUGAAGAACAAGCCCCGGCUAACUACGUGCCAGCAGCCGCGGUAAUACGUAGGGGGCGAAGCGUUGUCCGGAAUGACUGGGCGUAAAGGGUGUGUAGGCGGGCUCGCAAGUUGGAUGUGUAAUACCCAGAGCUUAACUCGGGUGCUGCAUCUGAUACUGGUAAACUAGAGUACAGGAGAGGAAAGCGGAAUUCCUAGUGUAGCGGUGAAAUGCAUAGAUAUUAGGAGGAACAUCGGUGGCGAAGGCGGCUUUCUGGACUGACACUGACGCUGAGGCUCGAAAGCGUGGGGAGCAAACAGGAUUAGAUACCCUGGUAGU
rnacentral:rRNA from 1 species